ensembl:rRNA 5S_rRNA 5S ribosomal RNA
CAUAAUGGCCACAGCCAUUUUUAUGGCCAUAUUUAAAGGCCAAAGACUGGUUACUCACUGAAUCUAAGCAGGGCUACGCCUGAUCAGUACCUGGAUGGGAGACCACAUGGGAAAACUAGGUUUCUAUUGCAA